ACCCCUCGCCCUAGUAUGAAACGUCAAUUGCCUGCCGGGUUGUCAAACAUUCGCCUGCUUCCGUGUACCCACUGUCAAACUGCUCUGCCGUGGUGUAGACGUACCCUACAUUUCGCCCCAUGCAAACAGGAAGGUUUCUUUCUGAAGUGUGGCAGCGUGGCUUUCUUUCGAAGAUUGACCGUGAUUAGUACAUCAUCAGCGGCCAGUUUCGGUAGUCGCUUGCGAAUCCCGGAAGUCAUCGCAGUACCUACAACCCGACGUCAGUCCUACUGCGACCGUUCUCGGACUCUUCUUCCUUCGGCAGUGUUAGCCAGUACCAGUCGAUUUUAUUCGACUCCCAUCAGCAAGGAAGGUUUCGAGGACGAUUUAGACAUGGCUCCGAGAUUCGAGCGAGAAGACUACAAGAAGGAACCGUACCACGGUGUGAAGCGCACCGGGACCGAGUUCAAGCGCGGAACUGGAACGACCGGUUCGCGCCCCGGUGGUGGUGGUUACGGUGGAGGUGGUGGUGGUGGCGGCGCCGGCGGCUAUGGAGGCGGCGGUAGUCGCUUCGGUGGUGGCGGUGCAGGAGGCGGCGGCGGCGGGUACCGCAAUAAGUGGGCGGAUGCCGGCGGGAUGACCAAGAUCGAUUGGAGCAAGAUGACGCUGGCCCCGUUCAAGAAAGAUUUCUACCACGAGAACUCGAUCGUGCGCAAUCGCUCGCAGAAGGAGGUGGAUCGCUACCUGGCCAAGCACGAUAUCACGCUGAUCGGCAAGUGCCCGAAACCGAUCACCGAGUUCGACGAGAUCGAAAUACCCGACUACGUCAAGCGGGAGAUCGACCGGCAGGGGUACAAGAGCCCGACGCCGAUCCAGGCGCAGGGCUGGCCGAUCGCGCUCAGCGGCCUGAACAUGGUCGGCGUCGCCAAGACCGGUUCGGGCAAAACGCUCGCCUACAUGCUGCCCGCGAUCGUGCACAUCAAUCACCAGAAGCCGGACCCGUCCGUGCGCGGACCGCUGGUGCUCGUGCUGGCCCCGACCCGCGAGCUGGCGCAGCAGAUCCAGCAGGUCGCGACCGAGUUCGGCUCGUCGUCGUACAUUCGCAACACCUGCCUGUUCGGUGGCUCGAGCAAGGGACCGCAGGCGUCGGACCUGCGCCGCGGCGUCGAGAUCGUGAUCGCCACGCCCGGUCGGCUGAUCGAUUUCCUCGAGUCCGGCACCACGACCCUGCAGCGGGUAACGUACCUGGUGCUGGACGAGGCCGAUCGCAUGCUGGACAUGGGCUUCGAGCCGCAGAUCCGCAAGAUCCUCGAUCACGUCCGGCCGGAUCGUCAGAUUCUUAUGUGGUCCGCCACCUGGCCCAAGGAGGUGCAGCGUCUGGCGCGUGACUUCCUCGGCGACUACGUGCAGAUCAACGUCGGUUCGCUGGAGCUGUCGGCGAAUCACAACAUUACGCAGCACGUGCGCGUUAUUGCCGAGAAGGACAAAAACCCAGAGCUGGGCAAACUGCUGGAGGAACUGUACCAUGAAGGCAAUCCGGGCAAAAUUCUUAUCUUCACCACCACCAAACGCCAGUGCGAUCGGAUAAGUAUGCAAAUCAAGCGCUACGGUUAUGAUUCGGUAUCGAUGCACGGCGACAAAUCGCAACAGGAGCGCGAACGCGCCCUGGGCCGCUUCCGCAAUUCCAGCUCCUGCAUCCUGGUAGCAACAGAUGUGGCCGCCCGUGGUUUGGAGGCCGAACCAUCUUGCUGCUGUGGUGGGGAUAGUGAGCAAAAGUACAUCUCAGCCCGCUGUUUUACAUAUGUUUCGCCCGUACAAUGAACACACACGUGUGCACCAACAUCAAACACUUCCUCCGACUACACUCGGCGCAAACAUAAAAUCGCGCGUCUCGAUCGCCUCUCCCAAACCCAAUUGGUAUUGGCGUCGUGUGCGCGCGCACGCGCUCGUUUACGCUGGUGGUGGUGGUGGGUGCGCAUUCAUGAAAAAAAAUGUACUGGACGGGAAAAGUGUAUGUUACUACACGGUGCCAAAACCUUUCACACAAAAAAUGGCCCUAAAAUAUGAAAAAAAGGGAGUGAGAGAGACAGAGAUGCAACAUGGUCACGAUACCAAUAUCCUCGCCAGGGGCAAAGGUGUUACCGAUUUGAAACGGCCUCUUCACACGUGGUGGUGUUGUGCUGUAGUGUGCUACCUUCCAAUUGCGCAAUUGAGUGGCCCAUUCCCUCUCCGUGAUGGGAUUUGGGGUGGCACGCGCUAAAACGAGAGACUAGCUCACUGCAGCAGUUCGCCCGACGAACGUACCACCACAUUGAGUAUAUACUGCGUUAAAACACAUGACUACUACUACUAUCAGUGCUUUCGUACGCACACACACACACUCGUAUCAUCAUCAGGAUUAAAGUCACAGGAGAAAAUGCGGUGCACAAAACGAAUCUGCCUCAAUAUUCGACAUCAUAUAGACCCUUGAGAAAAAGGAGGUCGAAUAUGCGAUCGACGGUUGUGAAAUAUCCCUUCCCUCGAGCCAUCGGGAUCCGAUAUUAACGACAGCAAGUACUAGGUCAUACUAUGAUAAUUGUGCCUAAAAUGAGUAAAUCUUUAUUAUCGAUCGAUCGAUACGAAGAGGCGAUCCAUUUUCGAGAAAAGUAAUAACAUAACGAUAUGAUCCUAUCAAAAAUAAGGGACCUUACCUUUGCACAAAUUCAACUGAACCAUUCUCGAAGAGCAGAUAAUAAAAGUAAUAAUAUCUCGUAAACCAAAAAGAAUCAACUGACACCGCACAAACCCUGAAAGCGCGUCGACAGCUCCAAUACGCGGACACUCGGCUUUGUUAAAUGUGAUGCGCGUGUGUUCCGGAAUUGCGUACGGAAGAAUAUGCGGUCUCGGGAUACUGCGUGAUAUGGUGGUUUGAUCAAUCCUCAACUUUCUGAUGGAAACACACAGACACUCACUUCACAAAUAACGCACAAGACAACCAGAAGCGCGCUCGGAGCACGGCUCGGUCCAGGAUAAAACACACAACCAUCCCAUUGCUCAGUCAGCGCGCAAGCACGAAGACAGCAAAAUGAGAAAACCGUGUUGUUGACCGGGGGCAGCAUCAGCAGCAGCAGCACAGAUAGCACAUCGCCGCAAGCGCCGCUACGCCGACGUCCAUAUCAAUCCCCUCUGUGGCGGUGGUGGUGGUCCGAACAGCAUCGACCGUUUUGGACGUGUAGCACAAGGCACAAACUCGGGGGACGGAAGGCGGCGGCUAUGCUCUGCAAUCUGGUUGUUGAACGCGCGCAGUACCAUGAAUCGCAGCUGUAAUAGUAGUAGUAGUAGUAGUAGUGGCGGUAUUCAAGAAAGACACACGACAAUCAUCUUCUCCUUUGCCACCAACCGCGCACUCGACGCGAGAUCGACACACACUCGUCGUCGCUGCGUGGUACCAAACUUGAGCGUUCCUCAAACGCGUCCCCGCGAGUUUCGGAUGGGAUACGUGGGUCCCGUUUUCGCCCCUUACUAAACGGGGACGACGAUGAUGAUGGUAGUAGAGGGGGUGUGCGCGUUGUGCAUCUUCAGAACGCGCGGAAAGAUACGUUCGUUUUACCGUUGCGCGCGCUCGAUUGUGAGCGAGUGAGAGGGGAUUGUGGAAAGAGCACUAACGUAUGUGUGAGAACAAAAAGGAGUAACGCUGUGUUUACUCCACUGGAAAGGCUCUGAUGAACAUAUAAUUAGUGACGACGUGGACGGUAUCAAGGUGGUCAUCAACUAUGACUAUCCGCAGCAGACGGAAGAUUACGUGCACCGUAUCGGACGUACCGGGCGCUCGAACGCAACCGGCGUGGCGUACACCU